rnacentral:lncRNA from 7 species
CAAGCUCCAAUCCCUUCCCCGGUCUCAGUGGGAUCAGUUUGUUCUGUUCUCAUCCACUUACAGAAACAGAAGCUACCAACCCACCAAACCCUGGGACAGGUAUUUCCCUACAGAAGCAUUCAUGUCCUUCUCCUGGCCCCUUUGGCCAAUUCCCAGCUCUCCAAACUGAGGCGUACGGCUGCAGCCCGCCCCAUGGCUUCUUUGGGGCAGCUGUGGGGCAGCCCCACCCCGAGGAGGAGAUGCCUUUUCCCCACAUGCAGCUGGUUCUAUGGCCACAUGGGGUGAGGACGUGGGGUCGUGGGUCACAUGGGGGUCCUGCAGGGUCACAGAGUUACGGGGGUUAUGUGUGGCUAUGGGUUUAGAUGGGGUUUCGAAUCACAGUGAUAGGGUCAGAUUGGAUGGUAGGGUCAGAUGGGGUGACAUGGAGUUACGGAUCACAUGGGUGGUAUGGUCGGGGUGAGGUGGGGGCAGGGAUCCCAGAGUUAUGGGCCACAUGGCGUCGGGUCAUAGCGUGAUGGGGGCAGGCAGAGUCAGGGAG